AUGGCGGUGUUGCAUAGGGUCCCCGUUGGCUCCAGUCCACAAGAGACUCCACUCAGCGAAACGCCCGACCUCCAUCCAGACUCCGACCUGCACCCAGCACGGCACGACCUUCCCCAGAGACCCGUGGGUGGACCUCACAUUCUCAGUGCCCAAAGAAUUCCUGCUCUAGGGAUUGCAGAGAUUGGAUUUGGGGUUGCAGAGAGAGCUCUCCAGAGGAAACUUGCUUCUGCUUUUCUGACCUCAACAUUCAGAUGUCCGACUAGAGACCAAACUCAUUCACUUCUGGAGAUGCUGUCUCCCUGUGUUGCUCAGGCUGGUCUCAAACUCCUGGGUUCAAGUGAUCCUUCUGCCUUGGUCUCCCGAAGUCCUCCAUAUCUUUCAAGACUUUACUGAGAUGUCACCUACUCUGGAAAGCCUUCUGGGAUUGUUCUUCCCAUAUGCUGAACAUCUGAGGGCUUUUUAUCAGCACCACGCAUUUGUCUGCCAGCUAUACUCUCCGAACUCUGUUCACUAAUAACCACUGGGGAACGAUUAUUCUCCAAUACCUUUCUAAUGUCUUAGAAUUCGUGACCCUAGGGUUUGCCAACCUGAGGGCCCACAGUGGCCGGUUCAGAAUGCUGGGGACUGCAGUAAACUAGAGGAUUUACCCUGUGGUCACUCCUCAUUCUGGCCACCAAGGCCUUCUGGGAACGACAGUUCAGUGUUGCCAAAUCUUCUACUAGUUUGAAGAUGCUGAUGAUAUGGUUUGGAUCUGUGUCCCCACUCAAAUCUCAUGUCAAAUUAUAAUCCACCUUGUGGGAGGUGAUUGGAUCUUGGGGCGGUCCUCCAUGACUGUAAGCUUCCUGAGGCUGCCCCCUCCGGAAGCAGCUGCUGCCAUACUUCCUGUAUAGCCUUUGGCACUGUAGGCCUGUUAAACCUCUUUUCUUUAUA
rnacentral:lncRNA from 13 species